UGAACCAGUGAUGAGAGUGUGUCGUGAACCAGGGGUUAUGAUUAAUUUAAAUUGUGUAUCUGAGGUCCAGA
rnacentral:snoRNA from 1 species